ACGAACGCUGGCGGCAUGCCUAACACAUGCAAGUCGAACGAGACCUUCGGGUCUAGUGGCGCACGGGUGCGUCACGCGUGGGAACCUGCCCUUAGGUUCGGCAUAACUCCCCGAAAGGGGUGCUAAUACCGGAUAAUGUCUUCGGACCAAAGAUUUAUCGCCUUUGGAUGGGCCCGCGUUGGAUUAGCUAGUUGGUAGGGUAAAAGCCUACCAAGGCGACGAUCCAUAGCUGGUCUGAGAGGAUGAUCAGCCACACUGGGACUGAGACACAGCCCAGACUCCUACGGGAGGCAGCAGUGGGGAAUAUUGGACAAGGGGCGAAAGCCUGAUACAGCAAUGCCGCGUGAGUGAUGAAGGCCUUAGGGUUGUAAAGCUCUUUUACCCGGGAUGAUAAUGACAGUACCGGGAGAAUAAGCUCCGGCUAACUCCGUG
rnacentral:rRNA from 1 species